CUCACUGUGUGUGCACGCCAUACUCUGCCUGCUGUAUGCUCUGUGUGCCAUAAUCUGCCUGCCCUAUGCUCUCUGUACACCAUACUCUGCCUGCCCUAUGCCCCCUGGGUGUGCCAUUCUCUUGAAAUAACAGGGGUGUGUCGUUUAAAAUGGGGAGUGUUAAAACACUGGCUUCCAUUAUUGGCCCUUGGUACCACAGAAGUUGGACAGCACUGAGAUAUCAGACACUUUUGGUUGAGCACCAGUUCUUUGAAAUGUGUAUUCAAGCUCUCCUAAUACUUUAAUGUUCCUUUGCCCUGAUCCCCAUGUCUAUUUGUGUAGGCAUUGGCAGAGCUUUUUAUUACUUUAUGGCUUAUGGUAAACUUUGUAUUCCAAUAUUUGGUCUCAUAUUUAGAUUUGAACAAAGUUAUAGGUGCAUAAAAUAUGUUCUGGAACAUCCAUGUAGCAUUCACCUCAAAUAUUAACUUGAUUUAUUUUUAAUCUUGGCUGCAAUGUUUGGGAGUUGCUGCCUUAGGGCAAUUUUGUCCCUGCGAAUGUUAUUUGCUCGUUGUGUGAGGCACAAAGUGCUUGAAAUCACCUCCUACUUGGGCGCACACGCAAAUUCUCAAAAUCACUCUGUCCCAUUGCCUUUAGAUUGUAAUUAGCAAUAUUCGUGUUUUGUUACAUUUUAUAACUUACUUUCUAAACCUGUAUUUAAUUCAUUAUAUUCCUUUCAAGCAGUGCAUAAUCUUUCUCCACUUUAUAUGGAAAGAGGAAGUAAUCAUUAAUUACUUUCAAGCGGAUCUUCAGCCAAAACUUUUUCCAUAAUGAAAUGUAAUUGCAGUUGAAAGGUAAAUUUCUGUAUCCCUUUGUGUUUCAUGUUCCAAUCAGCUGACCUUUGCGGAGGCUAUAAACAGCUGGACAGUGCUUUCAAUUGCAUUUACAUUCAAGACAAUCCAAUUGAAGUACAAUAUCAGGUGUCUUAUUAAAAAGCACAAAACUGGAAUAAGAUUUUUUUUUUUCUCCAUUGGUUGGAUCACUUGAGUACAGCAUACAUGUAAAAUAUCUGUGCAGACUGCCUCCAUUCCUAAGAAAAUAUCAAUAAAUGGAAUGCUUUGGUGAACGGAAUAAAGCCCAUCAGGGCGCCCACAUUACUUUUGAAACUUUCAUGGUUUUAAUAUUUUGUUUAUGCAGUUGCAGGCAAACAGUGGGAUUAAAGGUAGACUGUCAAAAGUAUUUUGCCUAAAAACAGUGUAUAUUUAAUUCUGUAAAUGUGUAGCUUUAGGGAUUAAUAUUUACUUUAAUUCUGGGAGUUGUGUAGUCAAUUUUUCUAUAUUUCCAGUUACUCAAAAACCAGUCUGCUUUCUUUUCAUACCAUGAUUAUGGCUCUGCAUUGCUAAGAAAGAGGCAGUGCUUCAAAAUAUGUUUGCUUGAUUAUUACCAAGCUCCUGGAAUCCAUGUUGUUUCCAAACAAUCCCAUUGAGUUUAUUUUAGGUUUCCAAGGAUUUUUUUGUAGACUAGGUAUGAAGAUUAAAAUUAUGGAACAAUCCCUUAUCUGGAAAAACCCCUGGUCCCAUGCAUAAUAGAUCACAUCUGUAUUUAUGAUUUAUAUAGCAAUAUUAAUGGUUGCUUGGAGCAUCUCUUUAAAAUGUGUAACCUGCUGGACAAGAGAUUCAACUUUCAAGAAUGUCAGGAAUGAUUUUGUCUGUUUUGUCCUGAUUUCUUACCAAGACUUGGAUGCUCCAGCAUAUUCAAGUACUGCAAAUAUGGACAAUAUAUUGUUUCCUAUGCAAAUAUCCACAAAGUGGGAAAUUAAAUAUGUCUAAUAACUGCUUCCUUUUACCUGACUAUCAGGAGCAGCUGCUCUGUCCUGACAUGUUUCGAAUGGGGAUCUGCUACAUUUUCAUUGAUGAUAAACAACACCCAAUUUUGUUCAAGGUGUGAGAGGCCACAUUUCAUGGAGACACCUUAAGGUUUGGUAGCCUGCAGACAUCAGAGCUGUGUACAGUGUCCCACUAGAAGUGGCUGGCCAGGCGGAAUCGAUCAGCCGAGAUGACCACUACAAACGCUGCUUGAGAAACUUUUCUCCUAAUACACUAUACACAUACAUUAUACAUAGUAUAGUAUACACAGUAUAAUGUACAUGAUAAAUUAAUCAAAAUCUAUUUAUCCUAGUCAGUUGAAACCUGUAAUUGUGCAGAAAAAGCAUAGUAAAAGGGACAGUAUAUGCCUCAAAACAUAUUUGCUGAAAUUAACGCAAUCAAAAGGACUCCAACCAGGGCAAUAUGGUCAGAGCCCCAUAUCUAUCUUUCACACCCCAAUAUCUAAAAGCAGCCUUUGAGCAGCUCAUUCUCAGGUGCUUCUUACUUGACUGCCAAUUGGCUUGAUUAGCUCCUCUGAUGUUCUGUUGGAUGAGGAAGUGAAACUGGCUUCAUAUUAGUGAUGUGCGGACUGUCCCGAUACCCGCAGGUUGGGGCUGACCACGCACUCCUCUUUGCGGGUGCAGAUUGAGCUUUCCUCCAGCUCUGCCCGCCAUUUUGCAGUGCUGACUUCUGGGUUCUUUUAUAGACGCUGCGCCUGCUCGCUCCGCCCCUUUUGUGACGGUGGUGUGCGCGCCUCUAUAAAAGGAAGUCAGGCUAGGGUCGGGAAAAACCCGAACCUCACAUCACUUCAUAUUCUUGAUUAUUGCCAGAAAUAAGACCACAGUUUUUACCUAUUGUUUGAAUUAAGAGCUAUGUUCAGCUGAAGCCCUGUUCAUUGAGCUUAAGUUGAAAAGGGGGUGUAUACUGUCACAAUUUGUCUAGCUGCAAUAAGGCAUUUUUAGUUCAAUACAAAGGUAAUUUUUACAAUAAUUGUAACUUAUUUUGCACAACUUCUCUUACGUAAAUAUACCCAUGCAGAGCAACAAUACAUUAUAUUUAAAAGCAUGCACACCCCUUUCAUUUUUGAUGUAUUGGUCCUUUAGUGCAACAGUCUGCACCCACAGCUAUACCAGUGCAGUCUUCGCCGAUAAAUCGGCAGCACUUCUCUGUGACCAGCAAUGAUCAGCAGCUCAGUGGUUUUUCAGAAAAGUGAGAGGUGUUACUUGAAUUUGUUUAGCAUACUGCUGUGGGCACCACUUACACUGGCCAAAUGCUCUGGUGCUACAGUCAUAUGAAAAAGUUUGGGAACCCCUCUUAAUUCUUUGGAGUUUUGUUAAGCAUUGGCUGAGCUUUUAAAGUAGCAACUUCCUUUUAAUACAUAACAUGCCUUUUGAAAACUAGUAUUUCAGCAGUGACCGUUUAUUGGAUUAACAGGCAAUAUGCAACAUAACAAAAUUAGACAGGUGCAUAAAUAUAGACACCCCAACAGAGCUAUUACAUCAAUACUUAGUUGAGCCUCCUUUUGCAAAUGAUGAUUUUUGCAGCAUGAUGAAACUUCCACCAAAUUUGACAGUAGGUAGGCAUUCUUCUUGGAAUGCGGUGUUCUUCCGCCAUGCGAAACACUUUUUGUUAUGACCAAAUAA